rnacentral:misc_RNA from 1 species
AUUUGGCAUCAGAGCUGUUACACAUCCUAGGGAUUUUAAGUUCUCUCCCUUACCUCUCUCGAUCCUCUCUAAUUCUAUCUUCUUCUCUCUAUCUUCCCUUUCCUUCUUGAUCUUCAUCUUCUGCCUUAUCUUCUGUUUCUCUGUCUCUCUUCUGUUGGUCUUUCCUUCACUUUCCCAUCACCAAACUUCUGCCAUCUCACCCAAAAAUUUCCUCAAAUCCUGUU